GAUGAAGAACGCAGCGAAAUGCGACAAGUAGUGUGAAUUGCAGAAUUCAGUGAAUCAUCGAAUCUUUGAACGCACAUUGCGCCCUUUGGUAUUCCUUAGGGCAUGCCUGUUCGAGCGUCAUUUAAACCUUCAAGCUAAGCUUGGUGUUGGGUGACUGUCCGCUUCACGGCGGACUCGCCUCAAAAUUAUUGGCGGCCGGUACAUUGGCUUCGAGCGCAGCAGAAACGCGAACUCGGGCCCGUCGUAUUGGCUCCCAGAAGCUAUCUUCACAAUUUUGACCUCGGAUCAGGUAGGGAUACCCGCUGAACUUAAGCAUAUCAAUAAGCGGAGGA
rnacentral:misc_RNA from 1 species